rnacentral:rRNA from 1 species
CAGUCGCCGCGGUAAUACGGAGGGUGCAAGCGUUAAUCGGAAUUACUGGGCGUAAAGCGUGCGCAGGCGGUUUGUUAAGACAGAUGUGAAAUCCCCGGGCUCAACCUGGGAACUGCAUUUGUGACUGGCAAGCUAGAGUGUGGCAGAGGGGGGUGGAAUUCCGCGUGUAGCAGUGAAAUGCGUAGAUAUGCGGAGGAACACCGAUGGCGAAGGCAGCCCCCUGGGCCAACACUGACGCUCAUGCACGAAAGCGUGGGGAGCAAACAGGAUUAGAUACCCGCGUAGUCCCUGUCUCUUAUAC